rnacentral:lncRNA from 1 species
ACAAUGUCUUUGGCUCCAAGAGAUAAUCAUGAGGCUCAAGUCCAAUUUGCAUUGGAACGCGGAAUUCCGGCGAUCCUUGGCAUCAUUUCCACUCAGCGGCUUCCUUUCCCCUCCAACUCAUUUGAUAUGGCUCAUUGCUCAAGAUGCCUUAUCCCAUGGACUGAAUUUGGUAAUUCCUCUCUUCCAUAUAAUGAUAAGUCUCAGAUGUAAAUUUGGACAAAAUUACAUUAUCAAUAAGUUGUCGCUGAGGUUCAUUGGUUGAUCAUAUACUCAAAAUUUCUUUUUAAUUUUCACUUAAUUUUUAGAGGUUUUAAGUAGUCAAGCAUCCAUUACAAUUACAGAGGUUUACCCUCUAGGUGGAACAGGAAUUCAGGUCAUCAAGCUUUUAUCUUUACAAAAGAAACAACUUAGAGUAAUUUGGCAGCUUUCAUCAAGUUUUCAAGGAAAUUAUGAAUAGCUUAAAAAUUAAGGUAGCACCAACAUAAUGUGUUUUCAGAACAUUUAUCAUUUGAACAGGUUUGUCUUUGUUUCUGAUGUUGAAUUAUGAACGAAAGGAUCAUGUUUGUGUUCUAUUUUUUUAUUUUUUUAUUUUUUUAUUUUUCCAUUUGCUGCUUUUCACCCAUGGAAAUGUCCUGUUUUCAGGUGGAAUAUACCUCCUAGAAGUACACCGCAUACUCCGCCCUGGAGGGUUCUGGGUCCUGUCUGGCCCACCUGUAAACUAUGAAAACCGUUGGCGAGGAUGGAACACAACUGUGGAGGAUCAGAAAAGUGACUAUGAAAAGUUGACUGAGUUGCUCACUUCAAUGUGCUUCAAAUUAUAUAACAAAAAGGAUGACAU